UAGGGAAUCUUCGGCAAUGGACGACAGUCUGACCGAGCAACGCCGCGGGAGUGAAGAAGGUUUUCGGAUCGUAAAACUCUGUUGUUAGAGAAGAACAAGGACGUUAGUAACUGAACGUCCCCUGACGGUAUCUAACCAGAAAGCCACGGCUAACUACGUUCCAGCAGCCGCGGUAAUACGUAGGUGGCAAGCGUUGUCCGGAUUUAUUGGGCGUAAAGCGAGCGCAGGCGGUUUCUUAAGUCUGAUGUGAAAGCCCCCGGCUCAACCGGGGAGGGUCAUUGGAAACUGGGAGACUGGAGUGCAGAAGAGGAGAGUGGAAUUCCAUGUGUAGCGGUGAAAUGCGUAGAUAUAUGGAGGAACACCAGUGGCGAAGGCGGCUCUCUGGUCUGUAACUGACGCUGAGGCUCGAAAGCGUGGGGAGCAAACAGG
rnacentral:rRNA from 1 species